UGUCUAUCUAAAAUGAAGAACUGGAAUGAAUGCCAACUAGAAAAAAAGGGAUGGACUGUGCUGAUUAUUCUGCAUUUACUAUUACCUUUAUGGAUCUGUUCUUUGUGCUGAUCUUUGCCCCAGAACUACAUCACUUGGUAUCUCUUGCCCUCUGACAUUUUGCUGUUUUUAAUCAAUAAGAGGCAUUACUAUGGGAGAAAAGGAGUAAGAGGGCAAAGUUAUCAGGAAUCUGGAUGUACGCCUGCACCAUCAAUAACUGCUGAUCAACCGUUUCUUUUGCUACCUUCACAGAAGAGAUGAAGUUCCUGUCAUCUGAGGACAGACCUUGGCAUCAGGAAUGCCAAAAGUCCCAUCCCACCCCUAUUCAGUGGUAUCUUCUCCUGCCCAAAGAUAUACCUCUGCAACAUAACUUAAGGCUAAUAGUCGCAUCCUGUUCUGAAAAAGAGGAAACACUUGAAAUACCAUUCAGAGCUGAAAUUAAAUUUCCACCAAAAGGCUCCGGGGAUUCAAAAGCUAACACCAAAUAUGAACUAAAGUGGGUAAUCUCUAAGGACCUUUAUACGAACAGCAUUUUUUACCAAGCAUCAGACUGCCCUUGCUAUUAAUGGGACCCCAACAAAGUGCUGUAUUUCUGCUGAAUGGACUCUGACCUUACUCCAAAUGUCUGACUUCUCACAGCAUGUACUUCAAUUCUUCUAAAUAAAGUUCUGUUCAGAAAUUCUA